rnacentral:rRNA from 1 species
GUGAAAGCCCACAACUCAACUGUGGAAAUGCAGUCGGAAACUGCAGGACUGGAGUACUGGAGAGGAGAGCGGAAUUCUUGGUGUAGCGGUGAAAUGCGUAGAUAUCAAGAGGAACACCGGUGGCGAAGGCGGCUCUCUGGACAGAUACUGACGGUGAGGCUCUAAAGUUAGGGGAGCAAACAGGAUUAGAUACCCUGGUAGUCAUAACUUUAAACGGUGUACACUUGGUGUGCGAGGAAUUGUCUCUUCGCGCGCCGCAGCUAACGCGAUAAGUGUACUGCUUGGGGAGUACGGUCGCAAGAUUAAAACUCAAAGGAAGUGACGGGGACCCGCACAAGCGGUGGAGCAUGUGGCUUAAUUCGAUGCAACGCGAAGAACCUUACCUGGACUUGACAUGCAAGUGGUAGAACCUUGAAAGAGGGACGACCGUAGCAAUACGGAGCUUGCACAGGUGGUGCAUGGCUGUUGUCAGAUCGUGCCCUGAGGUUCUGGGUUAAGUCCCGCAACGAGCGCAACCCUUGUGGUUAGUUGCCCUUAUUCAGUUAGGCACUCUAGCCCGACUGCCUGUGAUAAGCAGGAGGAAGGUGGGGAUGACGUCAAGUCAGUAUGGUCCUUAUGUCCAGGGCUGCACACGUGCUACAAUGACCAGCACAGAAGGAAGCAAGGCCGCGAGGCGGAGCUAAUCCCCAAAACUGGUCUCAGUUCGGAUUGGAGUCUGCAACCCGACUCCAUGAAGCUGGAAUCGCAAGUAACGGCGCAUCAGCUACGGCGCCGUGAAUACGUUCCCGGGUCUUGUACACACCGCCCGUCACAUCAUGGGAGCCGAUUGCACCCGAAGUCGUUGAUUCGACCCCCAAGGGAGACAGACAC